rnacentral:rRNA from 1 species
UACGUAGGGUGCAAGCGUUAUCCGGAUUUACUGGGCGUAAAGGGCGCGUAGGCGGCUUAACAAGUCACUUGUGAAAUCUCCGGGCUUAACUCGGAACGGCCAAGUGAAACUGUCAAGCUAGAGUGCAGAAGGGGCAAUCGGAAUUCUUGGUGUAGCGGUGAAAUGCGUAGAUAUCAAGAGGAACACCUGAGGUGAAGACGGGUUGCUGGGCUGACACUGACGCUGAGGCGCGAAAGCCAGGGAGCAAACGGG